rnacentral:lncRNA from 1 species
CCCUAACUCCUCCAACAUAAGUAGACUUUCUUUACAGUUGACUGGAUUUCUAACUGAUGCCUGCCUACUCCAGUUGGAUAAGCGAUUUGAUUUAUCUUGCCACAUUGCACCUUGUUGACAAGGUAAGCAAUAGAUUGGCGCUAGAUGAAAGGCUACGUACACCCCAUUUUUGAGGAAAGAUGAUGAGAAUCAAGUCGCAAAAUCAUCUUAUUUUGUCGCAUCGACAAUCAUCUCUACACAGCACACCAAAUGCGUAGAAUGUCGAGGAACAACCUCCC